GAACCGUCCAAACGUUAUUCGGAAUCACUGGGCUUAAAGGGUGCGUAGGCGGCCCGGCAAGUUGGGUGUGAAAUCCCUCGGCUCAACCGAGGAAUAGCGCCCAAAACUGCCGGACUUGAGGGAGACAGAGGUGAGUGGAACUAUGGGUGGAGCGGUGAAAUGCGUUGAUAUCCGUAGGAACACCGGUGGCGAAAGCGGCUCACUGGGUCUCUUCUGACGCUGAGGCACGAAAGCUAGGGGAGCGAACGGGAUUAGAUACCCCGGGUAGUCCUAGCUGUAAACGAUGAGCACUAGAUCGUAGAGAUCUCCAUGUCUUUACGGUCGAACUGAAAAGGUUAAGUGCUCCGCCUGGGGAGUAUGGCCGCAAGGCUG
rnacentral:rRNA from 1 species